rnacentral:rRNA from 1 species
UACCUACGGGACGCAGCAGUGAGGAAUAUUGGUCAAUGGGCGGAAGCCUGAACCAGCCAAGUCGCGUGAGGGAUUAAGGCCCUAUGGGUCGUAAACCUCUUUUGUCAGGGAGCAAUGGCGUCCACGUGUGGGCGUAUGGAGAGUACCUGAAGAAAAAGCAUCGGCUAACUCCGUGCCAGCAGCCGCGGUAAUACGGAGGAUGCGAGCGUUAUCCGGAUUUAUUGGGUUUAAAGGGUGCGUAGGCGGAAUGCCAAGUCAGCGGUAAAAUCGCGGGGCUCAACCUCGCUCCGCCGUUGAAACUGGCG